GAUGAACGCUGGCGGCGUGCUUAACACAUGCAAGUCGAACGAUGAAGGAGGAGCUUGCUCCUCUGGAUUAGUGGCGAACGGGUGAGUAACACGUGAGCAAUCUGCCCCUGACUCUGGGAUAAGCGCUGGAAACGGCGUCUAAUACCGGAUACGAGCCGAGCAGGCAUCUGCAGCGGCUGGAAAGAACUUCGGUCAGGGAUGAGCUCGCGGCCUAUCAGCUAGUUGGUGAGGUAAUGGCUCACCAAGGCGACGACGGGUAGCCGGCCUGAGAGGGUGACCGGCCACACUGGGACUGAGACACGGCCCAGACUCCUACGGGAGGCAGCAGUGGGGAAUAUUGCACAAUGGGCGCAAGCCUGAUGCAGCAACGCCGCGUGAGGGACGAAGGCCUUCGGGUUGUAAACCUCUUUUAGCAGGGAAGAAGCGAAAGUGACGGUACCUGCAGAAAAAGCACCGGCUAACUACGUGCCAGCAGCCGCGUAAAAC
rnacentral:rRNA from 1 species